GCUAGUUGGUGAGGUAAAGGCUCACCAAGGCGACGAUCAGUAGCUGGUCUGAGAGGACGAUCAGCCACACUGGGACUGAGACACGGCCCAGACUCCUACGGGAGGCAGCAGUAGGGAAUCUUGCGCAAUGGGGGAAACCCUGACGCAGCGACGCCGCGUGCGGGAUGACGGCCCUAGGGUUGUAAACCGCUUUCAGCAGGGACGAAACUGACGGUACCUGCAGAAGAAGGCCCGGCCAACUACGUGCCAGCAGCCGCGGUAAUACGUAGGGGCCAAGCGUUGUCCGGAAUCAUUGGGCGUAAAGAGCUCGUAGGUGGUCGAUCACGUCGGAUGUGAAAUUCUGAGGCUUAACCUCGGGCCUGCAUUCGAUACGGGUUGACUAGAGUGUGGUAGGGGAGACUGGAAUUCCUGGUGUAGCGGUGGAAUGCGCAGAUAUCAGGAGGAACACCGAUGGCGAAGGCAGGUCUCUGGGCCAUUACUGACACUGAGGAGCGAAAGCGUGGGGAGCGAACAGGAUU
rnacentral:rRNA from 1 species